ACACAAUUUUUCCCCGAGAUCGCUGUGGAGUUUGGUAAUCAUCAGAAACUUAUCCUUUCUCCCGAGAACUAUUUAUUCAGGGAAUUGUUGUUCGGAAUACGCUCGUCACUUAUGACCGUGAAAAUGACAAGCUCGGGUUUUUGAAAACCAACUGUUCUGAUCUAUGGAGGAGGCUGGCGUCACCACCAGAUUGCUUGUGUGUUCCUCACGUCUCUUUUUGCUUUCAACUCGACAAGUGUUAUGUAAUAAGUGACAUUUCUUGUGUGUGUGGCUUCUUUUUUUAAGUAAAUAUUAAAAAUUCUGGCAGGUCUUCCUAAAUAUGUUAUUUACUAUCCUAACAUUUUUUAAUUAAAUAUUAAAUAUU